UACGUAGGGUGCGAGCGUUAAUCGGAAUUACUGGGCGUAAAGCGUGCGCAGGCGGUUAUGCAAGGCAGAUGUGAAAUCCCCGGGCUCAACCUGGGAACUGCAUUUGUGACUGCAUGGCUAGAGUACGGCAGAGGGGGAUGGAAUUCCACGUGUAGCAGUGAAAUGCGUAGAUAUCUGGAGGAACACCGGUGGCGAAGGCGGCAUCCUGGACCGGUAUUGACGCUGAGGAGCGAAAGCCAGGGGAGCAAACGGG
rnacentral:rRNA from 1 species